GAUAACCGGUUGGCCGAGGCAACUGGGCUCGUUCUAUUUGGAAGUGGCUUUGCCAGGAUAAGGUGGCGUUCCUCACGGCCACGUUAAUGUCCAUUCUGUGGACCGAGGCCAUUUUCUAGAGGAAGUCUAGAGCCUUUUCCUCGUCUCUCUACAGUUGAACUCCACUAUUUGGAAGUGGCUUUGCCAGGAUAAGGUGGCGUUCCUCACGGCCACGUUAAUGUCCAUUCUGUGGACCGAGGCCAUUUUCUAGAGGAAGUCUAGAGCCUUUUCCUCGUCUCUCUAUAGUUGAACUCCACCCUUUUUGAGCUCCACAUAAAUGUUCCAAUCAGUCUGGAGUUGUCUAAAGCCCCCGAACACUCGGUGGUAGACAAUGAAAGACUUAUUUUUUCAAUGUUUCAAGGAAGAGAGGAUAUGGUCAAAGAGAGUCUGACUUUUUUUCGCUGAAGAACCAAAACUCCUUAUUCCUCCGGAUUCCUAGCUAGUAUAGCUGGGAGAAGAGAGCAACUCUCAGAUUGUUAUUAUUAUUGAAGCACACAAAUCGAAAGGCCACGGGAAUCCUCCAACUGUUUGAAUGAAGUUGGGCGACUACAGUUUAUGGAUUUUGAGGAUUUCAAUGAAAAAUGGGUCAAUCGAAAAAUGAAGACCCACCUUCAACUAUUCCUCGUAUACCAUGAUGGUAUCUUGAGCAGUGAUCUGGUCAUUUACGUGAACAUUUAGAUUAGGAGCGGAAAUCAUGAAGAUCUCUUUGGAGAUCUUGUAAUGGUCAUGAAGACUAUCUACGUCCAUCUCAGUUAGCACAAAUGGGAUGUCAUUCACCUGAAGGAUAUCAUUAUCAUGGGCUGACCUCAAUGGAACUACAGGAGCCAGAGCACGAAUGGGGCCGCUGGAGGAAGAGCUGGGGGUUGAACUACAAUGAGAAAAAGAACAAGAAGACAAAGAGGACCUGUUCAUUUCUAAAGUAUGAAAAAAGACAAAAGUAGGAGUUACUUUCAGAAAAUGCAAGAGCCUAAGGCCGAGAGUACUAAUCUUUUCAGAGCAGAAGUGGUGAUCGUAGGCGAAAGGGAGAUUUUAUAUUGUUGUUUCGACAGCUGAUCUAAAUGUGGCUUGAGAAGUAAGGCAAAGCAGUAUUGAUGACUAGUACAGGCGAAAAGAAGUGGAU
rnacentral:lncRNA from 1 species